ACACAGGUGUGCAUAGCUAGUAGGACUCGUCUGCCCUGAUGUUUCAAGACCUUUAAAUAUUUUUACAUGUAGUUUUUGAAUCAGCGAUCACUUACUUUCAUACAGGCCACACCUUUUGCCUAGUGGUUAAAGCAUAUAUAACUAUGGUGAAAUUUUAUGCUUGCCUCUCCCUACAAAUAUAUAAUCAGUGUGAUCCAUUCUAAAACGUAUGAAGGGUUAAGGUCGUUGUUACGAACAAAUAUUGCAUUAUCUUAAUGCAAGCAUUACAAUAGGUACUAUAACAAUAGUUACUAUAACGACACGACAUACUGUAUAAUGGAUGUAUUGAUCGCCCUCUAGUGUUUGUUUAGAAGCCGCGUUGAAAGCCACUUGAAUAUUCAUUUGAUUAUACAACAGCGUCGUAUAAUAAUAAUAAUGAUGAUGAUGAUGAUAAUAACAACAAUAAUAACAAAUAAAUAAACGUUGUCGUGGUUGGUCAGUUUUACAUGCUUUGUAAUCGUAUAAUAGGAAUAGCGUUAUUAUUAUAAUUCUUAUUAUUAUUAAAUCAUGUUCGGCUAAAACAAUACUAAUGUUCUGUAAAUUAAUUGCCAUCGACACUAUGGGUUCCAAAUGAUAGACUAUUUCUAGAUGUUGAAGAUCAUAUUAAUCUGUUACCGUAAUAUGCGAGGCGCUAAAACAUAGACGAAACCAUGCAUGUUACUCCUACACACCCUCCGCUGCGUUUGGGUAGCUGGCCGUGAUGGAUCUGAAAGGGUAGCGCCUUGUUUUGCGGGGUAGAGAAGCAGUGGGCUUGCAUCCCUUCCCCCUUUUGACACAUCCCUCUGUGAAGAAGCCGCUGCGCUGAUUUCAUUGGGAAGCAUCGCCAGUCAUGUCUCCUUUUCUUAUAGGACAUUCGGCUUGAGGGACAGCUUUCAGCCAUUUUAUCACCGGUGACUAAAGUUUCGCUGCCUGGUUGUUUUUUUUUUACCUUCUAGAUUUUUGGACAAUGCUUUUAUAAAGUACAAAAGUUUUUUUAUUUUUUUCUUUAAAAAAAAAAAAAAAAAGUCAACGCGCGAGAGCUGGAAUAGUGCCUUUUAUUGUGGCGAGCUCCUUUUUUUCCAGUAUGUGCUGCAUGUGACGGUAGUGAUGCGGAGCAUGGGACAGGCUGUGCACACAGGUGAAUAGCUGCACUGCCCCAUUGUAGGAGAUGACAGAUGGAUGGAAGGUCGGACCCCCCUGUGCCGCAGUCCAGCAUGGACCAGAGCUUCAGCUUCAGCACUCUGAAGAAGCUGGCCGCGGAACCGGAUCACACGGACGUCACGCUGUCCGCGGCGGAGCGGGUCCGUGCCCUGAGCAAGAUGGGCUGCAACAUCGAGAUCAACGAAGACAUCACCCCGCGGCGGUACUUCCGUUCCGGCGUGGAGAUGGAGCGCAUGGCCGCCGUCUACCUCGAGGAGGGGAGCCUGGAGAACGCCUUCGUGCUCUACAACAAGUUCAUCACGCUGUUUGUGGAGAAGCUACCCAGCCAUCGGGACUACCAGCAGUGCAGUGUUCCUGAGAAGCAGGUCAUCAUGAAGAAACUGCAGGACGUGGCAUUUCCACGGAAAGAUCAACUGAAGAAGCUUCUCCACGAGAAGUACAACAGAGAGCACAUGGAGUACGUGAAGAGUCAGCACGUCUGCGCCCAGAGCCAGGCUGCAGAGGUCUGCGACCAGCAGCUGCAGAGGCUGUCGCUCAUGGAGGAGGAGCGGCAGCGCGUGGCCCAGCUGCGCAGGAUGCAGAUAGAGUCCGAGCAGUUCCGCUACUUCGAGGACCAGCUGCGUCGCCAGGAGUUGGCCAACCAGAAGGACGGGGCCGCCCUCAAUGUGCAAGAGCAGACGGACGGGACGUGUCUGUCCCGCACGCCGAAGAACCAUGUCAGCCUCGGGCCCAAUCGCAGCAAGCAGGCCGUCCCCAUCAACAAGCCAACCUCAACUCUGGGUGCAGUGCAGAACCAGAGAGUGGAUGGCUUGAGAAGGGUGGUGAUCUCGCGAGAUCUCACUUACAAGUUUCUGCUGCUCGCGGAUGGAAACACGGCCAGAGGAAUCGAGACGUGCGGAGUCCUCUGUGGGAAACUGACCCACAACGAGUUCGUCCUCACCCACGUGAUCAUUCCCAAGCAAACCGCCGGCCCAGACUACUGCGACAUGGAGAACGUGGAGGAGCUCUUCGGCUUCCAGGACCAACACGGGCUGCUGACACUGGGCUGGAUCCACACACACCCGACACAGACGGCAUUCCUCUCCAGCGUGGAUCUUCACACACACUGCUCGUACCAGCUGAUGCUCCCAGAAGCCAUUGCCAUAGUCUGUGCUCCAAAGCAUAACGACUGGAUAGAGUGGAUCUUUAAAUGGGGUGACUGCUCCCCCUUUCGUUUUGAAUCAGCACCGGAGUCUUCAGGCUGACCAGCCCUGGAAUGGUAGAGGUGGGGAACUGCAGGAUGAAGGGCUUCCACCCUCACUCGAAGGACCCCCCGCUGUUCAGCAUCUGUAAGCACGUUGUGGUGAAAGACACCAAAACAAUGGUGCUAGAUCUCAGGUGACAGCGACGAGAGCCCCGCACAGUGGCCCCCAUCCCCCCACAUACACAAACAAGUUUCUAUUUACAUCGUUGUUUACUUGAAGGUUUUUGUAUUUAUUUAUUUUCUAAGAGGUACUGUGAAUCAAUAUCGCUUUACCGCGCAGAGCAUCAUGGGUGCUCUUUGUCGCAGAGUCAUUACGACGAUGUUGCUUCUGCUGGUCUU